AUCAUCUCUUCCCACUUGUGAACCUCUAUAUAUUUAUACCCUUAACACCUUCAAUCCUCAAAUAUUACCGCAUUCUCUAGCUCUUCCCUCUUGUCCCUCCUUUAGUCCUUUGCUCAGAUACUAUUAGCUUUUCUCUUCACAUUCUCUCAUCUUUUUCAAGUUUUUGAUUGUGGGUACAUGUAUAGAGUACCGUAGAAUAGCUUUUCUACCAAGUGGGUCUUGUUUAUUUGAUAAGCUGAGAUAUGGUUUUGAAGCGUUCUGCUGUCCUUCCUUGCAUUUGCCUUUACUUUUUCCUUCAUAGAAUGUGGUCUUGAGGUUAGGGCUAGGUUCCUUCUUCCUUUACAUCUCUUUUUACUCGUUUUCUUUCUUUAUUCCUUUACUUUUGCAUGGAUUCAUAUGAUGAAAGAAGAUCUCAAGACACCAGUCACUGUUUGCGGAUGGAGCAUCAUCAAGAUUCACAAGUAUUGAGACUCAGUGCGUGGUGGUGAUGGUGACUUUUGUGGUCCCUUCCUACACUCCGAUGGCUCUUUGAUGUGGGAAUCUUGAUGAUGCUGCAGCGGCAAUAAAUGGCUAAUUUUUAUAUAAAUCAUCUCCAAAACCACAAAACAGUUGCAGAAGAUCGAGGACGGUGCCCAUCAUGACAAUAUCAGUGAUGACGGAUGUAGUGGCUUCUCUGACCUUUCCUCAAAAGUUUUGCUGUACUAGAACCACCUGGGCACAGUAGGUAUGUCUGUACUACUAUCUCUCUCUCUCGUGUGCAAGGACAAAUGAGAUAAUCAUGGUGUGCUUUUAUUUCAUGGACAUUAAGGGUUCUUAGUUUCCUCGCUUUUCUUCUUCAUUUUCUGUCUCUAGAUCUUAAUCCUAUUUAUCUCUCUAUUUCAGCUUUCAGCUCAGACACCAGCUUUUCUCACAAAUAUAUUUGAUGUGUUUGGAAUCCGUAUGAAGUCUCACAUACAAUCAUUUUUAUAACUGCCGUACAUAAUGAAAAUCAUGGAGUUUUGACUGCCUUCUGGAAACUUGAAUGUGACUCUCAACUAUACCCCAUCUGGAUGUGCCAUUUCCCAGAUUUGAUUUCCAGUUCCUUUCCAAAAUGCCAAUUUCCACUUCAACAAUUUUUGAAAGUCUACAUUAAGAGGAUCCCUCACUAACUUCUUUAUUUAGCUAUUUGGGAAGAUGUGGGAAAGUUUUGGAUUCCCUUGUUUUCACAAGGCAAUUAUUUUCCAUCAGAUCUGCAGUUUUCAUGUAUGAAGUGUGUAGGUGUGAGGAGAAGCACUCACUCUGAUAUUGGCUCCUUGAGGGUCUUGUAAAGUUACAUUUUAAUAUCAUUUAAGCAGAUCAAUUAGACCAUUA